rnacentral:lncRNA from 1 species
AUGCCCAGGUCACCCCAGGUCACCCCGGGUCACCCCGGACCUACCUGCGGGUGGUGGUGGCUGAGGGGGGGGGUGAGCUCCGUGCCAGCCCGAAAUUCCCAAUUCCCAAUUCCCAGCCCGGAGAUUCCCGAUUCCCGGGGUCCCGGCCCUGCGCCCCCUCCCCCUCCUCUCCCGCACUCCAAACAAACCAGGAACCACUUGGCGAACCAGAUCCUUUUCCCUGUUAACCCUUUUCCCGCAGAUCCGGGGGUGCCGCUCCCGCUCCCCAAAUCCGGCACCGCUCCCCCCUCCCCCACAGCCUCGGCACCCCCCGAUCUCCUUUUCCAGGGAUCCCCUUUUUUCUGGGAUCAGGAACAGCCCCCGCGGGGUCCCGACUCCCGGAGAUCCUUCCCAUGGGAUUUAUGGAUAAUUCAGCGGCGGGAGGAGCUGCGCCCCCCCAAAGCACCGCAGGGCAGGGCGGGGGUGACUCCGUGCCUCAGUUUCCCCGCCCCAAAGGCAAGAAUUCCUUCUCCCCCCCGGAAUAUUCCCACUUUUCCGACCCGCGGCCGGCAGAACCCCAAAUCCGCGGGGCCGAACCCCAAAUCCGCGGGGCCGUCCCCACAUCCCCACCUUGUCCCGGUUCCGGACGGGUCACACACCUCGGGCCAGCCCAGCACAGCCGGAUCCAGGCGGGAUUUCAUUUCCUGGGAAAAGCGAGCGUGGAGCGGGUCAAGCCCGGCUGGAUCGGCUCCAUCCGCUCCGGAGGCACCUGCGGGAGCCGCGGGGGAAGCUCCCCACACCCACCGGGAAUAUCCGGGAUCAUGGAAAAGCUCCGGGAGCGCGGAAAGCUCCCGCAGCCUCGGCCGGGGGUGCCGGGCCAGCAGAAAUCCGGGAAAAUCCCGAAUUCCCCACGAUCCCAGCGUUCCCUCUGGAUAUUCCCGGGGGCUCGUCCCGCCGGGAACGCGUUUGUUUGAACAAACGGGCGGAACCGGGACCUUUGCGCGGGGCUCGGGAGGUGCCGGGAGGUGCCAGGAGGUGCCACCUCCCGCUCCCGAAGCUUUUCCAGGGAUUUCGUAG